rnacentral:tRNA from 1 species
AGGAGUGUAGCUCAGGUGGCUAGAGCACUGGUCUCCAAAACCAGGUGUCGGGGGUUCGAGUCCCUCCACUCCUG